rnacentral:rRNA from 1 species
AGAGUUUGAUCAUGGCUCAGAACGUACGCUGGCGGCACGCCUAACACAUGCAAGUCGAACGAAGUAGCAAUACUUAGUGGCAGACGGGUGAGUAACAUGUAGGUAUCUGCCCUUUGGCCUGGAAUAACACGAGGAAACUUGUGCUAAUACCGGAUAAGUCUUUACGGAGAAAGCUUUAUGCACCAUUGGAUGAGCCUGCACUUGAUUAGUUUGUUGGUGGGGUAAUGGCCUACCAAGACUGUGAUCAAUAGCUGAUUUGAGAGGAUGAUCAGCCACAUUGGGACUGAGACACGGCCCAAACUCCUACGGGAGGCAGCAGUGGGGAAUCUUGCACAAUGGAGGAAACUCUGAUGCAGCGAUGCCGCGUGAGUGAAGAAGGCCCUUGGGUUGUAAAGCUCUUUCGUCGGGGAAGAAAAUGACUGUACCCGAAUAAGAAGGUCCGGCUAACUUCGUGCCAGCAGCCGCGGUAAUACGAAGGGACCUAGCGUAGUUCGGAAUUACUGGGCUUAAAGAGUUCGUAGGUGGUUGAAAAAGUUAGUGGUGAAAUCCCAGAGCUUAACUCUGGAACUGCCAUUAAAACUUUUCAGCUAGAGUAUGAUAGAGGAAAGCAGAAUUUCUAGUGUAGAGGUGAAAUUCGUAGAUAUUAGAAAGAAUACCAAUUGCGAAGGCAGCUUUCUGGAUCAUUACUGACACUGAGGAACGAAAGCAUGGGUAGCGAAGAGGAUUAGAUACCCUCGUAGUCCAUGCCGUAAACGAUGUGUGUUAGACGUUGGAAAUUUAUUUUCAGUGUCGCAGGGAAACCGAUAAACACACCGCCUGGGGAGUACGACCGCAAGGUUAAAACUCAAAUGAAUUGACGGGGACCCGCACAAGUAGUGGAGCAUGUGGUUUAAUUCGAAGAUACGCGCAGAACCUUACCAACACUUGACAUGUUCGUCGCGACUCUAAGAGAUUAGAGUUUUCGGUUCGGCCGGACGAAACACAGGUGCUGCAUGGCUGUCGUCAGCUCGUGUCGUGAGAUGUUGGGUUAAGUCCCGCAACGAGCGCAACCCUCACUUUUAGUUGCCAUCAUUAAGUUGGGCACUCUGAAAGAACUGCCAGUGAUAAGCUGGAGGAAGGUGGGGAUGACGUCAAGUCCUCAUGGCCCUUACGUGUUGGGCUACACACGUGCUACAAUGGUAUCUACAACAGGAAGCAAAACUGCGAAGUUAAGCAAAUCCCUAAAAGAUACCUCAGUUCGGAUUGCACUCUGCAACUCGAGUGCAUGAAGCUGGAAUUACUAGUAAUCGUGGAUCAGCGUGCCACGGUGAAUGCGUUCCCGGGUCUUGUACACACCGCCCGUCACACCAUGGGAGUUGGUUCUACCUUAAGGCAAGGUUUUAAACCCUUGACCACGGUAUAGUCAGCGACUGGGGUGAAGUCGUAACAAGGUAGCCGUAGGGGAACCUGCGGCUG